AUUGAACGCUGGCGGCAUGCCUUACACAUGCAAGUCGAACGGUAGAGUAGCAAUACUUGAGAGUGGCGAGCGGGUGAGUAAUAUAUCGGAACGUGCCCAGUCGUGGGGGAUAACGUAGCGAAAGCUACGCUAAUACCGCAUACGAUCUAUGGAUGAAAGCGGGGAAUCGCAAGACCUCGCGCGAUUGGAGCGGCCGAUAUCAGAUUAGGUAGUUGGUGAGGUAAAGGCUCACCAAGCCGACGAUCUGUAGCUGGUCUGAGAGGACGACCAGCCACACUGGGACUGAGACACGGCCCAGACUCCUACGGGAGGCAGCAGUGGGGAAUUUUGGACAAUGGGCGCAAGCCUGAUCCAGCAAUGCCGCGUGCAGGAUGAAGGCCU
rnacentral:rRNA from 1 species